rnacentral:rRNA from 2 species
CGGUAAUACGUAGGUGGCAAGCGUUAUCCGGAAUUAUUGGGCGUAAAGCGCGCGCAGGUGGUUUCUUAAGUCUGAUGUGAAAGCCCACGGCUCAACCGUGGAGGGUCAUUGGAAACUGGGAGACUUGAGUGCAGAAGAGGAAAGUGGAAUUCCAUGUGUAGCGGUGAAAUGCGUAGAGAUAUGGAGGAACACCAGUGGCGAAGGCGACUUUCUGGUCUGUAACUGACACUGAGGCGCGAAAGCGUGGGGAGCAAACAGGAUUA